rnacentral:lncRNA from 1 species
CUUGGUACAAGCUAAGCUGUCACACUUGGUAUCAGUGUCAGACAGAAGGGUAAUACAAGGCUGAGCUUUCCAACACAAACACUGCAUCUGCAAAAGAGUGAAUCUUAUAUUGGUAUUGUCUCUCCUCAGGCAAGUCCUGGAUCCUUCUUUUCUUAGAGCAGCUCAGCAGAGGAGCACAAAGACAUCAGUGCUGGCAUGGCUCACCCAGCAGCACAUCUCUGGAAGAUGCACUGGUGCUCAGGAUAAUCAUUGGGCAAGAGAAUGGAUGCAGCAGAUAAAGGUAGGUGACACCUGCCCUGAGAGACAAAGCAGCAAAGAACAAAGAUUAGUGACUGGGGAUUGCACUCACCUGUGAGGAGAAGGUAAGUAGGGUGAAAAGGAGUGUGAAAACUGCAGGAAAUGUGGUCUCCUCCUGUAUUCUUGCAGCCAUUUGUACUGCCUGAAUUCUCUACUAAAGUUUUGCUGUUGUGACUGAGAUCUCCUUUUGUAGUUUACAGAAGAGGCACUUGCAGCUCAACUUUUGCAGUAUUUAUGUAGGUAAAAUUCUCAAGUUUUUCAAGGGGAUUUUUCUACAGUAGUUAUGGGCUCUUAGAGGCUGCUUCUGUCCAGGUGAGGACUUGAAGCCUGCACAAUUACCAUACUGUAACUAUCAAUAGAUCCUUCCUAAUAGGAAGGUUAUUUGAAUUUAAGUUUGUAGCUUAGUUUCUCUAAUCUCCUCGUAACCUAUUUAUUUAUGCUACAGCUUUCAUUCUGCACUUCCUAAUCUCCAGCUGCAGAAAUUCAAAGUGCUGCACAUUGUGCCACUUUUCUGUCUGUCAAUGGAAACAAUAUUGUUAUAGGCAAUGCUGUGCUCCUGGCACCAACAGAAGGCCUGGAUCUGGUCCCAGGAACACUUCAGGAUCCUCCCAACUCUGACCCAUCAGCUGAGCCUAUUUAGUUGCUCCAUGGGUCAGCUCCUCACUUCUGAAGAAGGAAGGUUUUGAUCUUUCCUUCUCUCCUGGAUUAUAUGUGCCAAAGUUUCACAUCAGAGACAGAACCCGUGAUGAUGCUUCUUCAUACAACCCACCCAUGUCAUAGGUAUGAGCUGCCACAUAUCACCCAUGCCAGCUCCUCAACUCCUUAACCCCAACCCUAGAGCCAAAUUAACUGGUUGACUGGUAGAAAUCUGAGUAAGAAAGUAAAGCUUUGACAGACUUUUCAGAGACGUAGUUCAGUGGGCAUGGUGGUAAUGGGUUGAUGGUUGGAUUAGAUUAUCUUAGUGGUCUUUUCCAGCCUUAAUGACUCUAUGAUUUUCUUAUCUCAGCUCUUGCCAACACCAGCCCUGGUGUGAGGGGGUGGUGAGGCUCAGCCCAGUG